UUAGGUUAACUGCGGAUGAUCAUUACAGUAUUCUUUUGCCAGCGCUUAACUGCGCGGCGAAAAACCUUACACACAGUGUCUUUUUGAUACAGAACUCUUGCUUUGGUUUGGCCUAGAGAUAGGUUGGGCCAGAGGUUUAACAAAACACAAUUUAAUUAUUUUUACAGUUAGUCAACUUUUGAAUUAAUCUUCAAAACUUUCAACAACGGAUCUCUUGGUUCUCGCAUCGAUGAAGAACGCAGCGAAAUGCGAUAAGUAAUAUGAAUUGCAGAUUUUCGUGAAUCAUCGAAUCUUUGAACGCACAUUGCGCCCUCUGGUAUUCCAGAGGGCAUGCCUGUUUGAGCGUCAUUUCUCUCUCAAACCCCCGGGUUUGGUAUUGAGUGAUACUCUUAGUCGGACUAGGCGUUUGCUUGAAAAGUAUUGGCAUGGGUAGUACUGGAUAGUGCUGUCGACCUCUCAAUGUAUUAGGUUUAUCCAACUCGUUGAAUGGUGUGGCGGGAUAUUUCUGGUAUUGUUGGCCCGGCCUUACAACAACCAAACAAGUUUGACCUCAAAUCAGGUAGGAAUACCCGCUGAACUUAAGCAUAUCAAUAAGCGGAGGAA
rnacentral:rRNA from 1 species